AUGGAAAGAAUCAUGUUAUUUUGAAAUCUUUCACAAAACAGAAAAAUCAGUAAAAAAAAAAGUCAAAAUACAAAGCAAAUAAGGAAAUAUCAUCCAUAAAUACAGCCAAGAAAUAUACAUAUAAAAUCAACCAAGAAAUGACGCAUUAAUCUUAUUAUAAAUUGUUACAAAUCAAAUCAGAAAAACUCCAGAAGAACUCCAUCACCGUUCUUCAAGUCGCCCCGAUACAGAUUUCAAAAUAUAAGAUUUCAAAGUAUAAGGUAUGUAAUAUAAUAUGCAUUCUUUAUUGAUUUUAAUAAAUUAUUUCAUAUUUUAAUUCAUGCUUAAUUCAUAUUUUAAUUCAUGAUUUUAAUUCAUGUUUAUUUUUUAUGCAGAUUUCAAAAAGGUAUGCUUUAUUGAUUUUAAUUAAUUAUUUCAUAUUUUAAUCUCUUACUUGAUUUUAAUAUCUAAUUGCAUAUUUCAAAAUAUAAGACAUAACAUAAAUUUGUGUUAUUGGAAGUAUGAAUUGAAAAAUACAUGACUUGCAUCGGAUUUUAUGCAGAUUUUAAUUUUGGUUUUAAGUUCAUAACGAGAUACAAUAACCAACGAGUUACGGAUUUUAUUUUUGUUUUAAGUUCGAAGUUGAUUUGGUUGUUAAGUUCGUCAAGGCAUACAAUAAACCGACAUAAGGGUGACGGAGUAUCAUUAUACACCCUUUAUGCAUUUAUUUCCUAGCGGUGUACGACGAUAUGAUGUACGAGCUCGAUUGAUUCGUAAUUAAUUAUGAUGUUUUCAAUUACACUAAUCCAUGAACAACUAAGAAAAUUUGUAAUUGCUUUUUUCAAUUUCGGAGUAAGUGUUUUAUAUUAGUCAAUUUUUAUUAUGGUAUUUUUGUACGGAGUAUAACGUAACUUUUUUUUUUCUUUGUGUUUUUUUUUUGGGGUUGGGUGAGGGUGUAUAAUGCAAUAUUUUCUCGCCUCAUGUUAAAAAAUACAUCGAAAGGUUUCAAGAGGGGUUCAUAUAUAUAUAUUUACUUCAUAGAAAAAAUUUCAUUA